rnacentral:rRNA from 1 species
GCGCCAUGCGGGCAGACUUACACAUGCAAGUCGAGGGGCAGCAUUUCCAGCUUGCUAGAAGAUGGCGACCGGCGCACGGGUGAGUAACGCGUAUAGAAUCUGCCCUUUACUGGGGAAUAGCCCGAAGAAAUUUGGAUCAAUGCCCCAUGGUCCCUUCUUGUGGAUUCACGAUUAGGGUAAAGGUUACGGUAAAGGAUGACUAUGCGUCCCAUUAGUUAGUUGGUAGGGUAACGGCCUACCAAGACCGCGAUGGGUAGGGGCCCUGAGAGGGGGAUCCCCCACACUGGUACUGAGACACGGACCAGACUCCUACGGGAGGCAGCAGUGAGGAAUAUUGGACAAUGGGCGAGAGCCUGAUCCAGCCAUGCCGCGUGCAGGAAGACGGUCCUAUGGAUUGUAAACUGCUUUUAUACGGGAAGAACCUAGGGCACGUGUGCUCUACUGACGGUACCGUAAGAAUAAGGAUCGGCUAACUCCGUGCCAGCAGCCGCGGUAAUACGGAGGAUCCGAGCGUUAUCCGGAAUCAUUGGGUUUAAAGGGUCCGUAGGCGGGCCAUUAAGUCAGGGGUGAAAGUCUGCGGCUCAACCGUAGAAUUGCCCUUGAUACUGGUGGUCUUGAGUUAUGGUGAAGUAACUAGAAUAUGUGGUGUAGCGGUGAAAUGCAUAGAUAUCACAUAGAAUACCGAUUGCGAAGGCAGGUUACUAACCAUAUACUGACGCUGAUGGACGAAAGCGUGGGGAGCGAACGGGAUUAGAUACCCCGGUAGUCCACGCCGUAAACGAUGGAUACUAGCUGUCCGGCAGCAAUGCUGGGUGGCUAAGCGAAAGUGAUAAGUAUCCCACCUGGGGAGUACGUCCGCAAGGAUGAAACUCAAAGGAAUUGACGGGGGCCCGCACAAGCGGUGGAGCAUGUGGUUUAAUUCGAUGAUACGCGAGGAACCUUACCAGGGCUUAAAUGUAGUCUGACAGCUUUAGAGAUAGAGUUUUCUUCGGACAGAUUACAAGGUGCUGCAUGGUUGUCGUCAGCUCGUGCCCGUGAGUGUCAGGUUAAGUCCUAUAACGAGCGCAACCCCUGCCGUUAGUUGCCAGCAUGUCAUGAUGGGGACUCUAACGGGACUGCCGGUGCAAACCGGC